rnacentral:tRNA from 1 species
GGGGCUGUGGCUCAGAGGUAAAGCACUCGCCUAGCAUGCGUGAGGCCCUGGGUUGGAUCCUCAGCACCA